rnacentral:rRNA from 1 species
CAGCCGCCGCGGGAAUACGAAGGGUGCAAGCGUUACUCGGAAUUACUGGGCGUAAAGCGUGCGUAGGUGGUGGUUUAAGUCCGUUGUGAAAGCCCUGGGCUCAACCUGGGAAUUGCAGUGGAUACUGGGUCACUAGAGUGUGGUAGAGGAUAGUGGAAUUUCCGGUGUAGCAGUGAAAUGCGUAGAGAUCGGAAGGAACAUCUGUGGCGGAGGCGACUAUCUGGGCCAACACUGACACUGAGGCACGAAAGCGUGGGGAGCAAACAGGAUUAGAUACCCCUGUAGUCCCUGUCUCUUAUAC